GAUGAACGCUGGCGGCGUGCCUAAUACAUGCAAGUCGAGCGAACGGACGAGAAGCGUUCUUUUCUGAUGUUAGCGGCGGACGGGUGAGUAACACGUGGAUAACCUACCUAUAAGACUGGGAUAACUUCGGGAAACCGGAGCUAACACCGGAUAAUAUUUUGAACCGCAUGGUUUAAAAGUGAAAGACGGUCAUGCUGUCACUUAUAUAUGGAUCCGCGCUGCAUUAGCUAGUUGGUAAGGUAACGGCUUACCAAGGCAACGAUGCAUAGCCGACCUGAGAGGGUGAUCGGCCACCCUGGACCUGAGACAAGGUCCAGACUCCUACGGGAGGCAACAGUAGGGAAUCUUCCACAGUGGACGGAAGCCUGACGGAGCAACGCCGCGUGAGUGAUGAAGGUCUUCGGAUCGUAAAACUCUGUUAUUAGGGAAGAACAUAUGUGUAAGUAACUGUGCACAUCUUGACGGUACCUAAUCAGAAAGCCACGGCCAACUACGUG
rnacentral:rRNA from 1 species